GGCUCGGGGGUCCCAGUUCCGAA
rnacentral:siRNA from 1 species